UUUGUGCUCUUUGGUCGGGCCAAGGGAGCACGGUAAGAGCCAGCCACCACAGGGUCCGCGCCCUGUGGGAGAACCCUGUUAGCUUAC
rnacentral:ncRNA from 1 species